UGUUACCUAUAUUAAGACAUUACUUCUGUUUGAGCUUAUUAAAACCAGGGAUCAGAUUUGAUCAACAAAACUUUGUAUCAUGCUGGAAAACAGUGACAGGCCAGGAAAUAUCUUAUGUAUCCGUGCUUCUUGGAGGUCAUAAUCCCACUUUUCAUACAUCAAUUUUCUGCCAGCAUUUCACCUUAUCAAGGAGAGGAGGAAUUAAUGGCUCUAGAAGAGUAGUCGAAAGAACUGAAUUAGUGGAGGCCAUAGAAAUGCAGAACUAGUUUAUCUUAUUUAUGGAAGAAGAAACUUUAUUGAGGGACUUGUAAAAAGAGAUAAUUUGCAAGAUGAAACAAGAGCUCAAUCCUAUUCUUAACAUUUUCCUGCAUUUUCCAAAACCAAACCCAGGGAAACUUUGAAGAGAGGAAGAAUGAGUUUUGGAGAGUAGAGGAAAGAACUCAAGAACUCGAUUAAUGAAGAAAACUUGAGGCACUUGUAAGCAGAGAGAAAAUCUACCAGAUGAAACCAGUGCUCAAUCCUUUGUCUUCACAUUUGCCUGCUUCAGAAUUUGUGCCUUAGGAAAAAUAUGGAAGAGGAUGGACAAAUAUAGGAGAUGAUGUACUCAAAAGGACUCAAGUGGACUGAUUUAUAUAUCUGUUAUUUGGUUUCUCUUACUGUUGGAUUGCUGUUAUGUCAGAAGCUUCUCAAAUUACAGUGGAUUCCCUCUAUGAAAUCCUUUGAUGAUUCAUUGUGAUAGAGAGGCAAGUUUAAGAUGUCAUGAAUUUCCUGAAGAAUCAAGGUUGACAUAUGAUGUCAUAAAUUUCAGCAAAACUUUCCUAUGUUAAGGCAUUUGUUCGCUUUUAGCUAAUUGAAACCAGGCAUAAAAUUCCUUCCGCAAAACUUUUUGUCCUGCUGGAAAACAGUGACAAACCAGGAAAUAUCUUUUGUAUCUUUUCAGAUUUCAUCAAAAUUUAUUUUCUCAGUCCAGCAUUUCUCGUUAUCGAGGAGAGGAGGAAUUAAUGGCAUUAGAAGAGUGGUCCAUAGAACUCAAUUAGUGGUUGGAUAUGCUUUCUCAAUGCUGCUUUCUGUUCUUUCUUUGUUUCUUGAUUUCUAAUUAGGUAGCAUAUCAGAGUAUUAUGUUUAUUUCUUUGAUGUAUGUGAAGAAGUGAUCAUCAGAGUCAAUACUGGAGGCUAUAGAACUGCAGGACCAAUUUAUCUCAUUUAAGGAAGCGCUUGUAAACAAAAAGAUGAUUUGCCAGAUGAAACAAGAGUUCAAUCCUGUUCUUAACAUUUCCCUGAGCAUUUUUCCAAAACCAAAGUCCAGACCUUCGAAGAGAGGAACAGUGGUUUUUAGAGUGUAGCCGAAAGAACUCUAUUAAUGGUUGGGAAUAGAAAGUGAUGGACUCUUCA